AAAAUUUUAGGUUAAAUUUUUAAACCUUAAGCUUUCAAAGUUUAGAAUAUAUCUAUUAUAAAUUUUA
rnacentral:tRNA from 1 species